rnacentral:tRNA from 1 species
GCCCCUGUAGCUCAGUCGGAUAGAGCAUCCGCCUCCUAAGCGGAAGGUCGCUGGUUCGAAUCCAGCCGGGGGCA